UACGAAGGGGGCUAGCGUUGCUCGGAAUUACUGGGCGUAAAGGGCGCGUAGGCGGGUCGUUAAGUUGGGGGUGAAAGCCCAGGGCUCAACCCUGGAAUUGCCUUCAAUACUGGCGACCUUGAGUAUGGCAGAGGUGUGUGGAACUCCGAGUGUAGAGGUGAAAUUCGUAGAUAUUCGGAAGAAACACCAGUGGCGAAGGCGACACACUGGGCCAUUACUGACGCUGAGGCGCGAAAGCGUGGGGAGCAAACAGG
rnacentral:rRNA from 1 species